GCUCGAAACGUCAAAGUUCUCCUUGUAUUUUUCAGGUAGCUGUAUCCCUAUCCAACCGAACCUUUCGUACAUAAUUUCCCCCAGAAUUUUUAGUUGUUUUCAAUUCGAUUUCAGUGUAAAAUGUAUCAAAUUUUCGACGCGAAAUUCUAAAUACUUUAUUUAUAUUUUGCAACAUUGCCGAGCAUGCGUAGAACUCACGUUGGAAAUUCAACGUGAAUC